AGUGAACGCUGGCGGUAGGCCUAACACAUGCAAGUCGAACGGCAGCACAGUAAGAGCUUGCUCUUACGGGUGGCGAGUGGCGGACGGGUGAGGAAUACAUCGGAAUCUACUUUUUCGUGGGUGAUAACGUAGGGAAACUUACGCUAAUACCGCAUACGACCUACGGGUGAAAGCAUGGGAUCUUCGGACCUUUCGCGAUUGAAUGAGCCGAUGUCGGAUUAGCUAGUUGGCGGGGUAAAGGCCCACCAAGGCGACGAUCCGUAGCUGGUCUGAGAGGAUGAUCAGCCACACUGGAACUGAGACACGGUCCAGACUCCUACGGGAGGCAGCAGUGGGGAAUAUUGGACAAUGGGCGCAAGCCUGAUCCAGCCAUACCGCGUGGGUGAAGAAGGCCUUCGGGUUGUAAAGCCCUUUUGUUGGGAAAGAAAAGCAGCAGGUUAAUACCCCGCUGUUCUGACGGUACCAAAAGAAUAAGCACCGGCUAACUUCGUG
rnacentral:rRNA from 1 species